rnacentral:lncRNA from 1 species
GAGUAUCUAUGUGGUAAAUGAUCUCUGGAAAUAAACAAAACAAUUUACAUAUCCAACCACCAGGGACUGGGUACUAAAUAAGAGGAUAUUCUUAAAAUGGAUUUAGUCAAUGAAAAUCAUGUUUUCAAAGAUCAUAUAAGUGAGAAAGUAUAAAACUACAUAUCUGGCAUAACCAUCUUUUGUUUAAAAAGAUAUGUAGAUGUAUACAUAAUACACAGAAAAAUGACUAAAAUGAAAUAUGCCAAAUGUUAACAAUUACUAUCUUUGGAUGGUAGUAUUAAGAGGUAUUUUAAUUUUCUUUAUAUUUUCCUGUGUAUCCCUCAAUUUUAUAUAUUAAGCACGUGCUAAUUUUAUAAUUUGGAAAAGCAUUAUUUGAAAAUAAAGUUUGCUGUCUUAAAGUAUCGGCAAAAUGGAAUUAGAUUAAAAUUAUUCUUAAAUAAUAAACUUUAGCCUAUCUUAAUGCUAACUUUUAGCAACAAACCAAUUUGCAUUUUAAAAGUUUGUUUUGCAAACACACUGAGGUAUAACAAACAAAAGAUGUUCUUUACUAAUGUAUUUUUUACAGAUGAGCUUAUUUUUAACUCCACAGACUUAAUAAAAUAAAUAAUGGCUCUGUCCAUAUCAACCUUUCAGAAGGUGUGAGCACAAGCUAAAAUAUACAUGAGUUUCUGUAAGUUUUCAUGACUUUGCAGCAUCUUAAGGUUUUAAAAUAGAAUAGCCCGUGAAAAGAGAAGAGUACUAAACGGAAAAAUUAGUACUGGCCUAGGAAGUGAUUCACAUGAGAAAGUGAAUUCUUGAAGCCUAAUUUACAAAUGCCUAUGGAAUCGCAUAACACAGCUCAUUACACCUGGAUUUCGAUGUAACAGAGUAGAUCUGACAAAGAAUCAAAGACCUUUAAGCUGAAAGCUUCUUUAUUUUGCAGGGGAGGACAUGAACUUUGCAAAUGAGGAGCCAGAAAGAACUGACUUGCUCAAGGUCACAUGACUUAUAACUCAGGUUUCCUGACUUAUUAGUUCACUGGCUCAGGAACAGCCACUACUCAGCUAAGACAUGGUAUUGUUUCGGACUUCAUCUCACAUAUGUAAUGAAAAUCUCUGUGUCAAUGAAUCACCUAGACCAAGUUCCUGUUAAUUUCACAAGAGUUCCUGGAAGCAAAGAUGUGACGGUAUCAGAAAGAAACUCAUGAUAGCCCAAGGACCACAGUUACAUCUCAUCUAGCCUUGCCUUUUCCUCUUUGGGAAAGGAAAUCUAAUUGCUCUGGAGACACAACCAUAACACUGACCUUCCUUUUUUCCUGAGUAGAGGAGAAUUAAAUAAACCCUGGGACUUCUCACUUGAAACAGAACAUCAACACCCAUUAAAAGUCUGUCUACUGCACAGUUAACCUAUCUUAGAAGAGUUAGUGCCUCUUCAGGCACUAGCAGAAAACAAAGCUUCCAAAUCAUUAUCAGGAUGGUAGGAUGCUUUUCUUUACUUGUUUAAAAAAGAAAAAAAAUCCAUACAUGAGAAUAAGAAUUAUGGACACCAUGUAUGAAAUGUGCCCUAACAUAAAGUUUUUCUUUCCCCAGGCCCUUCACUGCAAAGACUCUAUGUUUAAAUGUUUCAUUUACUUGCAGCAUGCUAAUUGCCACUAGACCCCACUUGCCAAUUGAUAAACAGGUGUCAAGCAUAACACUGGAUUUAGAAGGCCAUAUCUGUCAUCUUACAAUGAUAUUCUACUUAAUAAAUUCAUCAUCACUGACUUAGCCACUUGCUACAAAGCUAUCAGAGUUGAAUGUAAAGAAGCUGGAAAAACAUUCGCUGAAUUUCCUAUCCAAAUAUAACCACCAUCUUGGUCAGACACAUGGGCUCUUUGAUAUGAGAUAUGAAGAAGAUAUCCUCAGCUAGUUCGCUCAAUUCAGCAGCAACAUAAUAAAGAAGAAAAUGAAAUUAUUGUCAAGACAGUCUCAAGAACUGAAGGAAAUUCAGAUGAAAUAAAACUGGGCAGGAAGGAAAAGGAAGAGGGGAGAAGAAAAAAGGAGAAA